GCGGAUGUGGUGGAAUUGGUAGACACGCCAGACUUAGGAUCUGGUGCCGCGAGGUGUGAAGGUUCGAGUCCUUUCAUCCGCA
rnacentral:tRNA from 1 species